GGUGUUAACAGGGACCAAAUGUCCCAGAUUCAUGACAUCACACUCUCAACAAUCGAUUUUGGCCUACAAGGCUAUACGGGUACCCCCUCCACGUCUAGGCCUCGUCCUAAGCAAAACAAUUCCUUGAAGACGCUAAAACGUGGGAAGAAGUAGCCAUUGAGCUAUGUGGAUUUAUUGAAUGCACCUGAUUCACCCGUGGAUCGAGAGAGGGUGGAGAAAUAUCCAUAGUUGCUUCAUCAAUGGUGAGUCCUCCUCCAUGCACUGGAGAAGCAUCUCAGGAUCCGGUAAUAGCGAUAGUUUCUCCAUUGAUGGUGAGCCAUCCUCAGUCCAUUGGAGAAGCAUCUCAGGUACUGCCAUCUAUAGAGCUGUGUACUGCAUCGAAGAGGCUUGAUUUUGAUGAUCCACCACAAGUUUAGGAUCAUAUAGUGUUAGUUGUGGUCAUAGAAUGACCAAUACAUGUAGAUAUAUUCUACAUUUUUAUUGUAUGUCGAUUUGGACAUGGCAUAUGCCACACUAUUGUAAUACUUGUAUUGA